AGGACGAACGCUGGCGGCGUGCUUAACACAUGCAAGUCGAGCGGAAAGGCCCUUCGGGGUACUCGAGCGGCGAACGGGUGAGUAACACGUGAGCAACCUGCCCCUGGCUCUGGGAUAGCCUCCGGAAACGGGGAUUAAUACCGGACAUGACCUGCUGCCGCAUGGUGGCGGGUGGAAAGUUUUUCGGCCAGGGUGGGGCUCGCGGCCUAUCAGCUUGUUGGGGGGGUGACGGCCCACCAAGGCGACGACGGGUAGCCGGCCUGAGAGGGCGACCGGCCACACUGGGACUGAGACACGGCCCAGACUCCUACGGGAGGCAGCAGUGGGGAAUAUUGCGCAAUGGGCGGAAGCCUGACGCAGCGACGCCGCGUGCGGGAUGGAAGGCCUUCGGGUUGUAAACCGCUUUCACCAGGGGCGAAGCGAGAGUGACGGUACCUGGGGAAGAAGCGCCGGCUAACUACGCGCCAGCAGCCGC
rnacentral:rRNA from 1 species